rnacentral:rRNA from 1 species
AUGUAGAUUCCUACAUCAUAGCAUUAAUGCCCUGGAUCCCAUUAGAACUCCACAGUUAAGUGCGCUCAGUAUAGAGUAGUACUGGGAUGGGUGAUCGCUCGAGAAGUCCUAGUAUUUUACAUC